rnacentral:rRNA from 1 species
GGGGACGCUUACCACUUUGUGGUUCAUGACUGGGGUGAAGUCGUAACAAGGUAGCGCUAGGGGAACCUGGCGCUGGAUCACCUCCUUA